rnacentral:rRNA from 1 species
GAUUUCUCCCUGAGACUAUAAGUCUCCUGAAGGAACGUUGAAGACGACGACGUUGAUAGGCCGGGUGUGUAAGCGCAGCGAUGCGUUGAGCUAACCGGUACUAAUGAACCGUGAGGCUUAACCUU